ensembl:lncRNA
CACCUUUUAACCCAACAGCCGACACCCAAGGUUUUGUGGGUUUGACGACGCGGAGGUCCUGACGGAUGGAAGCACUAACCCGAGGGGAACGCACACGUGCUCAUCUUUCAGGUUGCAAAAGCAGCACCAGGAGCGGCCUCUGAAGGACCUUGAGCCGGGCUCGGCGGGUGUAGGCCCUCAUCCACGGCGCUGCUGACCGGCUCCCAGAGGCGCCGACGCUGCCGCCAUCAAGUCGUCUGAGCUGGAGGCCCCCGACCGACUUCAUGUCGCACGAGAUCAUAAGAAGCAGGUUUAGAGUCAGUGUCGCGGGAGUUCCAUUGCCGUGUUGCACAUUUAAAUAUGUUUAGAUGAACCUGGAUUACUAAUCCGUUGUGGUGGCAGGCAUGUAGUUAGUUUUGAUUGCUCUCUUAGUAAUACUUUUACAUACUGUGUAACAAGCCCUCUACCACUUCAACGAUACAGAAAAAUACUACAUCUCAAUUAUGACACAUUACGAUCUGGUGACCUUUUGUUUUAAUAUUCAGGAUUUUGAAAUUGAUUCGGUUAUAAGUGAGUAUUAUUGGCUUUAAAUAUUCUUUGCCUAUCAACACAAAACCA